rnacentral:rRNA from 1 species
UACAGAGGGGGCAAGCGUUAUUCGGAAUUAUUGGGCGUAAAGGGCGCGUAGGCGGCCAUUCAAGUGACGGGUGAAAGCCCUCGGCUUAACCGAGGAACUGCCUGUCAGACUGGAUGGCUUGAGACCGGAAGAGGUGAGUGGAAUUCCCAGUGUAGCGGUGAAAUGCGUAGAUAUUGGGAGGAACACCAGUGGCGAAGGCGGCUCACUGGUCCGGUACUGACGCUGAGGUGCGAAAGCGUGGGGAGCAAACAGG